AUGCAGCAUUAUUGUGCCCUUUGUUUUUUUGCCAGAAUCUGCAGCAGAUGUGCACGUACCCUAAGGGGGGCUAUGGGUCACUCACAAGGGGGCCCAAUUCAGAUUCUUGCCAUGGGGCCCAGUGAUUUCUAUGUACGCCCCUGUUUGUAGCGAUGAGUGUGGCGCUGCUAGGGCCCUUAUUACUCACUGUCCCCGUGCCUUCAGCUCCAGGACAUAAUGCACACAGGAGCUCAGGCUGAGCAAUGUCAGGUCAGUACAGAGCUGCAAGAGCGGCGGCAUCUUCUGGAGCAGGAGAAACCCUAUGUGCGCCCCUGACCCAAGACUUGGGCGUGUGAUGGCCCAGGCCAAUCGGAGAAGAAAAGGAAGGUGAACAAGUGGAAUCCACGGAGACGUCACCUGUACUUUGUUAGAAAGUAGAGUGACUCUAAAUUGAUUCGGAGAAAGGAAGGCUGGGGGUGCGAUGUCCUCUUUUUUUGAAAACCACAAUAUGGUCAACCUCAGUAUAUGACUAUGAACAAGAAAUAAUCCAGCGCUCAGAGAUGGACUGAAGCGAAGCCGCAGUGAGGUACGGUUAUACAAUCACUGUAGCUAAGAGGGUCCCGACAGCACA